UACGUAGGGGGCAAGCGUUGUCCGGAAUCAUUGGGCGUAAAGCGCGUGUAGGCGGCCUUGUAAGUCUGUUCUGAAAGCCCGGGGCUCAACCCCGGGAGGCGGAUGGAUACUGCAAGGCUCGAGUACGGAAGAGGCGAGUGGAAUUCCCGGUGUAGCGGUGAAAUGCGCAGAUAUCGGGAGGAACACCAAUGGCGAAGGCAGCUCGCUGGGACGUUACUGACGCUGAGACGCGAAAGCGUGGGGAGCGAACAGG
rnacentral:rRNA from 1 species